rnacentral:rRNA from 1 species
AACGUAGGAGGCAAGCGUUAUCCGGAGUUACUGGGCGUAAAGCGUAUGUAGGCGGUUGGGCAAGUGGCGUGUGAAAGCUCCCGGCUAAACUGGGAGACGACAGGUCAGACUGCCGAACUCGAGUCCGAUAGAGGGGCGUAGAAUUCCGGGUGUAGCGGUGAAAUGUGUAGAGAUCCGGAGGAAUACCAGUGGCGCAAGCGGCGCCCUGGGUCGGUACUGACGCUGAGAUACGAAAGCCAGGGGAGCGAACGGG